UUCGCCUAUCCCGCAUUGCACCUGCCUGUUCACGCUUUAAUUCAUGUCCAAGGUGGAUUAUGGUUGUCGACCGCCUACGAGGAUCCGAUCCUAUAAGCUCCGAGAUGAUUGCCGCGUAUCGGGCUCCGUACACGCGGACCGCAUUAGCAUAACACGAUCUAAUUGAUGCCAGUGGUACCAUGCACCUUCGCCUCUCACCGAACGAACGUUAGACGUGCGCCUCGUGCGUUACGUGCACGUUCGACUCACGGAAAAUCAAAAAAAAAUUGGAAGAUAUGUAUAUAGAUAGUGAGAAGUGUCGAUGCAAGAAGUAAAUAUGUGAGGGGAGAUAUUAAGAAGAUGAGGUGAUUGGUUAAAAAUUAGUAAUUAUAGUUAAAAAUAGUAAUGGAAGAAAUUGAUGUAAAGAAUGAACGCAAAAUAUUUUUUUGACGAGAUGAUCGUGACACACAAGAGAGCUAAUAAAUCAGUCUAAUUAAUGAUCGCGGUCAUUGCACCAUUCGAGCAUCGGCCGAUCCAAAAAAAAACUGGAUCUAUAAUUCUAGCAAACAGCAUACAGUAUGGAUAUUUAUUACACAUUCGUUCGAUUCUUCCAUCGAGAGUCGAGAAUGUCGCUCAACGAAAACGAUGCCGCGAUGACGAAGUUGAGGAAAGAAGGAAAAAAAGAAAAGAUUUAGUUGGAGAUCGAAUGAAAGAAAGAUGUACGGGAUCUCUCGAUUCGACGUGAGGAUCAGUGUUUAUCAAAAAGAUAAUGAAUCAUUUUUCUUUGGGGAGGGAAAUGAAAGGAGCGGUGAAAGCAAGACGAUGCGUAUCCAUCCAGCCUAACUAUAAAUACACGUUAAUACCCCGGUUGCGGACAGUGAAAAUGAUUUUCAGCAUCCGCCUGUUGCGGAACGAGCGUUGCAUGUGUAGUUUUUUUUCUCUUGCAGUGUCUCGAGUUAUAGAAAUUAUGGAGAGAUAGAUCGUAGAUCUAGGCGUGACGUGUAUCGUUUUUGUCGCCGCAACGAGGACGCGCGGAAAGAAAUCGUGAAAUCCGUGUUUUCAUGGAGAAAUGUGGUGUUCGUAAUUGAAUUUUAUUCGAAAUUAAUAUUUCUAUUUCGUAUUUUUGAAUAUCCACAUACCAUAUAUUUACGUAUAUUUAAUAAUUCACGCGAAAUAAGCGAAACUGAUCGAUCAACUUCGUUCGACUUUUGUAAAAUUAAAUUCUAAUUUCUAGGAU